UACGUAGGCAGCAAGCGUUGUUCGGAGUUACUGGGCGUAAAGGGUGUGUAGGCGGUUGUUUAAGUUUGGUGUGAAAUCUCCCGGCUCAACUGGGAGGGUGCGCCGAAUACUGAAUGACUAGAGUGCGGGAGAGGAAAGUGGAAUUCCUGGUGGUAGCGGUGAAAUGCGUAGAUAUCAGGAGGAACACCUGUGGUGUAGACGGCUUUCUGGACCGUAGCUGACGCUGAGACACGAAAGCGUGGGUAGCAAACAGG
rnacentral:rRNA from 1 species